rnacentral:rRNA from 1 species
CCUACGGGAGGCAGCAGUGAGGAAUAUUGGUCAAUGGGCGAGAGCCUGAACCAGCCAAGUCGCGUGAGGGAAGACGGUCCUAUGGAUUGUAAACCUCUUUUGCCGGGGAGCAAAAAGAGGUAAGUGUACCGCAUCGAGAGUACCCGGAGAAAAAGCAUCGGCUAACUCCGUGCCAGCAGCCGCGGUAAUACGGAGGAUGCGAGCGUUAUCCGGAUUUAUUGGGUUAAAAGGGUGCGCAGGCGGCGAGUUAAGUCAGCGGUAAAAUUUCGGGGCUCAAACCCGACGAGCCGUUGAAACUGGCGUGCUAGAGUGGGCGAGAAGUAUGCGGAAUGCGUGGUGUAGCGGUGAAAUGCAUAGAUAUCACGCAGAACUACGAUUGCGAAGGCAGCAUACCGGCGCCCAACUGACGCUCAGGCACGAAAGCGUGGGUAUCGAACAGGAUUAGAUACCCCAGUAGUC